GACGAACGCUGGCGGCGUGCUUAACACAUGCAAGUCGAACGAAGUGGCGAACGGGUGAGUAAUACGUGGGUAACCUGCCCUCCUUUUUGGGAUAAGCCUUGGAAACGGGGUCUAAUACCGAAUAAAGGGGGAUGGGGUAGCGGCCUAUCCGCUUGUUGGUGGGGUGAUGGCCUACCAAGGCGGUGCCGGGUAGCCGGCCUGAGAGGGUGAACGGCCACAUAGGGACGGAGAUACGGCCCAGACGACUACGGGGGGGAGAAGUGGGGGAUAUUGCACAAUGGGUGAAAGCGCGAUGCAGCGACGGCGCGUGGGGGAUGAAGGCUUUCGGGUUGUAAAACUCGGUCGGUAUAGAACGGGUAGGUGGAGAAGAAGCGCCGGCUAACUACGUGCCAGCAGCCGCGGUAAUAC
rnacentral:rRNA from 1 species